rnacentral:rRNA from 1 species
AAACUUCGCAAUGCGGGAAACCGUGACGAGGGAAUUCCGAGUGCUCAUACAAUGUAUGGGCUUUUCUGAUGUGUAAAAAGCAUGAGGAAUAAGGGCUGGGUAAGACCGGUGCCAGCCGCCGCGGUAAUACCGGCAGCUCGAGUGGUAGCCACUUUUAUUGGGCCUAAAGCAUCCGUAGCCGGUUUAGCAAGUCCCCUGUGAAAUCCUGCCGCUUAACGGUAGGGCUUGCGGAGGAUACUACUAGACUAGGAGCCGGGAUAGGUCAGGGGUAUUCCUGGGGUAGCGGUGAAA